CAACUUUCAACAACGGAUCUCUUGGUUCUGGCAUCGAUGAAGAACGCAGCGAAAUGCGAUACGUAGUGUGAAUUGCAGAAUUCAGUGAAUCAUCGAAUCUUUGAACGCACAUUGCGCCCUUUGGUAUUCCAAAGGGCAUGCCUGUUCGAGCGUCAUU
rnacentral:rRNA from 30 species